UUAUCAUGUGUUUGGUCAGGUUGCUUUUUAGUCCAAACCUUUGACCACACUCAGAACAGACAAAUGCUUUUUGUCCUGUAUGAAUUAUCAUGUGUCUGUUCAGGUGGCUCUUUCGUCCAAAUCUUUGACCACACUCAGAACAGACAAAUACUUUUUGGCCUGUAUGAAUUAUCAUGUGUGUUUUCAGGGCGCCCUUUUGUCCAAACCUUUGACUACACUCAGAACAGAUAAAUGCUUUUUGUCGUGUAUGAAUUAUUAUGUGUGUUUUCAAGUGGCUCUUUCGUCCAAACCUUUGACCACACUCAGAACAGACAAAUGCUUUUUGUCCUGUAUGAAUUAUCAUGUGACUGUUCAGGG